rnacentral:rRNA from 1 species
GACGAACGCUGGCGGCGUGCUUAACACAUGCAAGUCGAACGGAAAGGCCCUGCUUUUGUGGGGUGCUCGAGUGGCGAACGGGUGAGUAACACGUGAGUAACCUGCCCUUGACUUUGGGAUAACUUCAGGAAACUGGGGCUAAUACCGGAUAGGAGCUCCUGCUGCAUGGUGGGGGUUGGAAAGUUUCGGCGGUUGGGGAUGGACUCGCGGCUUAUCAGCUUGUUGGUGGGGUAGUGGCUUACCAAGGCUUUGACGGGUAGCCGGCCUGAGAGGGUGACCGGCCACAUUGGGACUGAGAUACGGCCCAGACUCCUACGGGAGGCAGCAGUGGGGAAUAUUGCACAAUGGGCGGAAGCCUGAUGCAGCAACGCCGCCUGCGGGAUGACGGCCUUCGGGUUGUAAACCGCUUUCGCCUGUGACGAAGCGUGAGUGACGGUAAUGGGUAAAGAAGCACCGGCUAACUACGUG